GAUGAACGCUGGCGGCGUGCCUAAUACAUGCAAGUCGAGCGAACAGAUGAGGAGCUUGCUCCUCUGACGUUAGCGGCGGACGGGUGAGUAACACGUGGAUAACCUACCUAUAAGACUGGGAUAACUUCGGGAAACCGGAGCUAAUACCGGAUAAUAUAUUGAACCGCAUGGUUCAAUAGUGAAAGACGGUUUUGCUGUCACUUAUAGAUGGAUCCGCGCCGCAUUAGCUAGUUGGUAAGGUAACGGCUUACCAAGGCAACGAUGCGUAGCCGACCUGAGAGGGUGAUCGGCCACACUGGACCUGAGACACGGUCCAGACUCCUACGGGAGGCAGCAGUAGGGAAUCUUCCGCAAUGGGCGAAAGCCUGACGGAGCAACGCCGCGUGAGUGAUGAAGGUCUUCGGAUCGUAAAACUCUGUUAUUAGGGAAGAACAAAUGUGUAAGUAACUAUGCACGUCUUGACGGUACCUAAUCAGAAAGCCCCGGCUAACUACGU
rnacentral:rRNA from 1 species